ACCAUUUCCUUCAAACCCUAAAAUUAUUGAUUCCCCAAAUUUCGAUCUAUCAAGCCCUAAAUCCAAACUUUCCACAAUUUCGAUCGAACCCUGAAGUCAAUCUCAUUCGAGCCCUAAAUCCAAUUUCUCCCCAAUCUCAUUCUCUCUCCCUGCCCCAAUCCUUUUCACCAGCCUCAAUCUCUUUCAGCUCCAGCGAUGCCUCCGAAGUCAGCCCGCCUUCGCCAACAACAAGCUCGGCGAGAAGCAACCGACUUAUAAGCCCUACUCAACGGCACAUCAGAGCUGCCGUCUCAUCCACCCUCUAACGCACAAUCGGCUUCUCCUCCGCCGCCUCCCACCAUAAACCGCAACACCACCACCACCCAAUCUCUGUCUCCUCCGCCGCCUCCCCCACUCCUCAACACCACGACCAGACAAUCUAUGUCUCCUCAGCCCUCCAAUGCACCACAAUCAGCUUCUCCUCUGCCGCCACCCAUAAUAAACCCCAAUACCACCACUGCCCAAUCUUUGUGUCCUCCGCCGCCUCCCUACUCCUCAGCACCAUGACCAUGCAAUCUCUGUUCCUCCGCCGCCUCCCCCACUCGGCAACACAAAACUCGUGGCCAGCUCCGCCACGGCAGGAGAAGAUGGCCCCAUCGCAGCCCUACUCAGCAUUCGGUGCAAGAACGCAAAAGGUGGUGAAUUUUUAAUUUUUUGGAAAUGAGGAUGCAAUGCUUCUGGGAAUACAGUUCUGGUUUUGUUGCUAGUUUAAAUAUUUUGUUGAUUCGGUAUUUGUAAAGUUGAGUCAUUUAUACUGAUUCGAAUGAGUUGGAGAGCUUGUAGCUUCUAGGAAUUUUAUUCUUGAACAUCAUUUCAGUUUUUGUAUAAGAUAGGAGAGCUUUUGCCAAUUUGGGUCAUUGAAUGCUUAGUAUAUAUAAUGUAGAAAGGUUUGAGAUUUAGUAAAACUAUUAAUAUAAUAUAGUAGAUGAUAUUAUCUCGAACUGAAUGUGGGAUUGGUAUGUAAUGUCAAGUGUUGAGAUUGUAGAUGAGGACAUUAGGUUGUGGAAAGCUUUAGGUUGUCUUGGCUUGGUGGAUUUUGGCUUUUGAAUGCAAGUGGUCAUGAUAACAAAUUUUGGGAUAUUACAGUAGCUUGAGAGAAUGACAUAGUUGGGGGCUGAUUUGUGUAGUCUCAACUAUUAUAAAUUUGGAAUUUCAAAAUGGGGGUGUAGUUCUGAAACGUCAUGUCGUGAUAAGCAACAAGAUGUCACAGAUAAUGAAGGCCAUUGGAGGAAAGGUCAAGCUUGUGUGGUCGGAUUUCCACGGCGAACCUCGCACAAGUGAUAACUGCAACCUCCUAGUUAGUGACAUUGGCACCACUGUCAGGGCACACAUUCCAAUGCUUGCACCCACAUUUUAUAAGCUCCAAGAUUAUUAAAAAGAGGCUGUUGAAAAAUACUUGGAGAGAUACAAUGAUUGGAAAUACAAGUGCCACAAGCAUUUUGACGAUUACAGGGAUGUUGUUCCCCUUGAAUUCAUUCACCGUCCCGAUCAAUGGGACUACUUGAUCACCAAGGAAUUCUGGGACAAAGACCAAACAAUAAGUAAUUUAUCGUAAGUGUGCACAACAAAGAAAAUCGGAACAAAAAUCCGGAGCCGCUCAAUCACAAUUCCGGGUCAAAACCUCUUAGUCAUAGGGCAUAGGAGCAUUUAAAGUAAGAACAUUCGGCCAUGUUCUGUGCAUCCGCACUGGAUGCUUAUCUACCUUGCAAGAACAAGAGAGAAAAACUGGUGAGUGUACUGAUCUUUGUCAGCAUGUUACUAUUUUGGUGUUUUAUUUUGGUUGGUUUGCUGCAUUAGUUUUCCCUAAUUUGGAAGCAUGAAUAGAAUACUUGUUUGCUCAUAUGUGGAUUUAUUAAUGAGACAGGGAAAUAUGUUGUUAAGAUGUUUGUUAAAAAUUUGUAAAACAUACUUAAAUAGUAGUAACAUGGUUGACAAAAAAAUUGAAAUGAUUGAGAGAAUAACAUAUAACAUAUAUGACUAAGAGUAAUCUUAUAUGUGCAGGGGGGUGCAAAUCCUAGGUCGCAAGGGAAACUCGUGUAUGCCCGUGCGACCUGCGGACACAAAUGCAACACUGAAUUGAGGGUCGGAAUGCAGAUUCUUUUUGCAUUUCCGAAAAUUCGGUUUGACUUUUCAAAUUCUCUUUACUGGUCAUAUUCUUCUUUUGUAACAACUGAGUUAUUGUGUGUUAUGGAGAAUUAUAACAGAGUUGAAAUCAAUGUUUGUAACAUAUGUGACUCAUAUAUGUUAUGAUAUUUUUGAUUUCUAUAACAGCCAUCUUAUUAAUUGUUGAUUGCAAAUCCUCACAGUAUAAAUAGCCAUCAUCCUUUCAUUGUAAAAUCAUCCCAUUCAAAACACAAUCCUCUCUCCACUCUCAAAAUUCUUAGAUUUUCUCUGGUGAUAGAAAGAGGUACAUUUCGAGUUCGUUGAGGGUUCUAGUUAGUAGUGCAAUUUCCUAGAAUCGUUUAGUCGUUAUAUCCUGGGAGACAAGCGCCAAGCAUCCUUGCACCGGUAGAGGAGGCGUAGACGUCUUAAGGACAAUGUGGUAUCACACACGUCUCGACUAGUUCUUCCAUCACCAAUCGUUCGGUAUUUUGGUUGAAUUUCUUUUCGUGUUCUUCGUUUCCGAUUUAUAAUUCGGCUUAUUAAAUUAUAUAUGCAAUAUAUCACUGUUUUUAUAACAAUCUUAAGACGUUUAAUUUUGAUAUUUCUUAUAUAAUUUGUAUUCGAUAUUUAUCUACAAUUUUUCAAGUAAACUUAUACCUUGUGUGUGUGUUUCAGUUUCUAAGAAUGACUAACGGAGAACAUUCUGGAAAUGGCAUGGGACCUUUGGUGCCAACUGUGCCUACUGCUCCCGUUGUACCUGUCUCAGUAUCCCAUGGGGAAAAACCUGAGAAGUUCAACGGUUUGCAUUUCAAGAGGUGGCAACAAAAGAUGAUGUUUUAUCUCACCACUCUGAAUCUUGCAAGAUUUUUGACGGAGAAUGCUCCUGAGUUCAAGGAAGAUGACCAUGGCGAUCAAGCAAAGAUUGCUGCUGUGAAUGCAUGGAAUAAUUCUGACUACUUAUGUAGGAAUUAUAUCAUGAAUGGUCUAGCCGACUCAUUGUACAAUGUGUACAUUAGCAUGGGAACGGCAAAGGAGCUAUGGGAAUCCUUGGAGAAAAAAAAUAUAUAUAAAACUGAGGAUGUCGACGCCAAGAAGUUUAUCGUGGGCUGCUUCCUUGAUUAUAAAAUGGUGGAUUCCAAAACUGUGAUGAGUCAAUUCUCUGAGAUUCAGCUAAUCCUGCAUGAGAUUCACGCUGAAGGAAUGCUACUAGGUGAAAGUUUUCAAGUUGCAUGUGCUAUUGAAAAGUUACCACCUGCUUGGAGGACUUCAAGAAUUAUUUAAAGCACAAGCGAAAGGAAAUGACCAUGGAGGAUCUAGAGGUUAGACUUCGCAUUAAGGAAGACAACCGAGGAUCCGAAAAGAAAGCAUGGAUCAAUGAUGUCUUUGCCAAGGCAAACAUGAUGAAACAUGGUCAAGGUUCCAAAAACAAGAAAGGCAAGUAUCAUGGGUCCAAGCUGGGGCCGAAAGGAGUCAUCUCCAAGAAGCCAAGGUUUGAAGGCAAGUGCUACAACUGUGACAAGACUGGUCACAAGUCUGUCGACUGCAACAAACCAAAGAGGAACAAAAUAAGGGAGGCAAACCUGAUUGAAGCCGUCACUCAGGAGGUUGCUGACAUGAACCUCUGUUGUAUGAUAUCGGAUGAUAGCAUGGAAAAAGUCAGUGAUUAUGACUGGGGACUAAAUGACUUAGAGCUAUGGUAUGACCAAGCCAAGUUUUUGGAUUGAUCUGUAGAACAGAACUGAAAUUAUCGAAUAAAUUGAUGUA